GACGAACGCUGGCGGCGUGCUUAACACAUGCAAGUCGAACGGAGUGGCGAACGGGUGAGUAACACGUGGGUGACCUGCCCUGCACUUCGGGAUAAGCCUGGGAAACUGGGUCUAAUACCGGAUAGUGUGGGAUGGGCCCGCGGCCUAUCAGCUUGUUGGUGGGGUAAUGGCCUACCAAGGCGGCGACGGGUAGCCGGCCUGAGAGGGUAGACGGCCACAUUGGUAAUGAGAUACGGCACGAACUCCUACGGGAUGCGGCAGUGGGGAAUUUUGCACAAUGGGCGGAAGCCUGAUGCAGCGACGCCGCGUGGGGGAUGAUGGCCUUCGGGUUGUAACCUCCUUUCACCCUGGCCGCGGUAGAUGGAGAAGAAGCCGCGGCUAACUACGUGCCAGCGGCCGCGGUAAUAC
rnacentral:rRNA from 1 species